rnacentral:rRNA from 1 species
AUUGAACGCUGGCGGCAUGCUUUACACAUGCAAGUCGGACGGCAGCAUAGAAGAGCUUGCUCUUUUGAUGGCGAGUGGCGAACGGGUGAGUAAUGCAUCGGAACGUACCGAGUAGUGGGGGAUAACUGUCCGAAAGGAUGGCUAAUACCGCAUAUUCUCUGAGGAGGAAAGCAGGGGACCUUAGGGCCUUGCGCUAUUUGAGCGGCCGAUGUCUGAUUAGCUAGUUGGUGGGGUAAGAGCCCACCAAGGCGACGAUCAGUAGCGGGUCUGAGAGGAUGAUCCGCCACACUGGGACUGAGACACGGCCCAGACUCCUACGGGAGGCAGCAGUGGGGAAUUUUGGACAAUGGGCGCAAGCCUGAUCCAGCCAUGCCGCGUGUAUGAAGAAGGCCUUCGGGUUGUAAAGUACUUUUGUCAGGGAAGAAAAGCCUGGGGAUAACACCCUCAGGUCAUGACGGUACCUGAAGAAUAAGCACCGGCUAACUACGUGCCAGCAGCCGCGGUAAUACGUAGGGUGCGAGCGUUAAUCGGAAUUACUGGGCGUAAAGCGAGCGCAGACGGUUAUUUAAGCAAGAUGUGAAAGCCCCGGGCUCAACCUGGGAACUGCGUUUUGAACUGGGUAACUAGAGUGUGUCAGAGGGGGGUAGAAUUCCACGUGUAGCAGUGAAAUGCGUAGAGAUGUGGAGGAAUACCGAUGGCGAAGGCAGCCCCCUGGGAUAACACUGACGUUCAUGCUCGAAAGCGUGGGUAGCAAACAGG